rnacentral:rRNA from 1 species
UUCCGGUUGAUCCUGCCGGACCUGACUGCUAUCGGAUUGGUACUAAGCCAUGCGAGUCGUUGUAGCAAUACAAGGCGGACGGCUCAGUAACACGUAGUCAACCUAACCUAUGGACGUGGAUAACCUCGGGAAACUGAGAAUAAACCGCGAUAGAUCAUAAUGCCUGGAAUGGCUUAUGGUUCAAACAAUUUAUUGCCGUAGGAUGGGACUGCGGCCUAUCAGCUUGUUGGUGAGGUAAUGGCCCACCAAGGCUAUAACAGGUACGGGCUCUGAGAGGAGAAGCCCGGAGAUGGGUACUGAGACACGGACCCAGGCCCUAUGGGGCGCAGCAGGCGAGAAACCUUAGCAAUGUGCGAAAGCACGACUAGGUUAAUCCGAGUGGUUCCUGCUAAAGGAACCUUUUGUCAGUCGUAAAACCACAGAUGAAUAAGGGGUGGGCAAGUCUGGUGUCAGCCGCCGCGGUAAUACCAGCACCUCGAGUGGUCAGGAGGUUUAUUGGGCCUAAAGCAUCCGUAGCCGGCUUUGCAAGUCUCCGGUUAAAUCCAGCUGCUCAACAGAUGGGCUGCCGGAGAUACUACAUAGCUAGGGAGCGGGAGAGGCAGACGGUAUUCGGUGGGUAGGGGUAAAAUCCACUGAUCCAUCGAGGACCACCAGUGGCGAAGGCGGUCUGCCAGAACGCGUUCGACGGUGAGGGAUGAAAGCUGGGGGAGCAAACCGGAUUAGAUACCCGGGUAGUCCCAGCUGUAAACGAUGCAAACUCGGUGAUGCAUUGGCUUAUGGCCAAUGCAGUGCCGCAGGAAGCCGUUAAGUUUGCCGCCUGGGAAGUACGGACGCAAGUCUGAAACUUAAAG